rnacentral:rRNA from 1 species
AUUGAACGCUGGCGGCAGGCCUAACACAUGCAAGUCGAGCGGCAGCACGGGAAAGUUUACUUUCUGGGUGGCGAGCGGCGGACGGGUGAGUAAUGGCUGGGAACCUGCCCUAACGAGGGGGAUAACAGUUGGAAACGACUGCUAAUACCGCAUGAUGUCAUUUAGGUGACCAAAGAGGAGGACCUUCGGGCUUCUCGCGUUGGGAUGGGCCCAGUUGGGAUUAGCCAGUUGGUGGGGUAAAGGCUCACUCAGGCGACGAUCCCUAGCUGGUUUGAGAGGAUGAUCAGCCACGCUGGAACUGAGACACGGUCCAGACUCCUACGGGAGGCAGCAGUGGGGAAUAUUGCACAAUGGGCGCAAGCCUGAUGCAGCCAUGCCGCGUGUGUGAAGAAGGCCUUCGGGUUGUAAAGCACUUUCAGUUGUGAGGAAGAAACAGU